GUUUUAGACGUGGUUUCUAAAUACAAGUGCCAUGAACAAUGGCGAGGCGCAGCCGAGCCAUUGUUCAUGGCACUGGGGAUUUGGAAGCCAAGUUUAAAACACUAACGAGGAUUUGAAAUUGCUUCUCAUACAUCAUUAGUCUUUCAUAGCAAUGAGGCAUGAAAUUAUUAGAUAUUCAGUGGUUUCAAAACAUUUCAUAGUAGACGUUGCGUUGGGAAGAGUAGGAGUUGCAACUGAAGGCCGACCUUCGCGACUUGGGGGAUUUGACGGCAUGCUCAGGGACCACAGAGCCAUUUUUGGGUUAGGGGGGCUAUAGCGAACGCCGAAGGCGUGAGUUUGUUAGGGGGUCUUGGGGCAUGCUCCCCCGGGAAAUUUUGAAAUCUGGGAUCUCCCAGAGCCCCGGAAAUGCAAUCAAAUUCACUAACGACUCUUAAUUAAUCUAAUAUUACCCGUCAUUUGUUUAAUCCAAC